rnacentral:tRNA from 1 species
AGGACCAUAGCCAAGCGGUAAGGCAAGGGACUUUGACUCCCUCAUUCACAGGUUCAAAUCCUGUUGGUCCUGCCA